rnacentral:rRNA from 1 species
AACGUAGGGGGCGAGCGUUGUCCGGAAUUACUGGGCGUAAAGAGCUCGUAGGCGGUAGUUCAAGUCAGGUGUGAAAUCCGACGGCUUAACCGGAGGACUGCACCUGAUACUGGGCUGCUAGAGGUAAGGAGAGGAAGGUGGAAUUCCAUGUGUAGCGGUGAAAUGCGUAGAUAUAUGGAGGAACACCGGUGGCGAAAGCGGCUCUCUGGACUGUAACUGACACUGAGGCUCGAAAGCGUGGGUAGCAAACAGG